AAAAAAAAAAAAAAAAAAAAAUAUCUGACUUUGAGGGUGUUAUAGGAAGUGAAAAAAUAUGUGAUAUGAAAUAUUAUUAAAAAAAUAAGAGGGUGUGUGAUUUGCAAUUUUGGAUGUGCAAAUUUCACCCCCCUUGUUUUAUUGUGUGAUAUAUAUAAAUAUAUAUACACACAUCACCAAAACGUGCUGUGUAGAUAUAUAUAGCUAUAUAUGCUAUCUCUAUAAUUAUAGACCAGCCCAUUAUUUGUGUUUUUUUUUAACCCAAGCCAAUUUUAAAAGCCCAAUUAAGAGCAAUUGACAUGUACUUAUGUUGGAUGUCGUUUAACGACAAACCAAUCUUUGAAAAAAUCAAAAUCUGGUUUGCUAUCUUCAUCGUCUUCCUCCCCUAUUUUGAUUCUCUUUGCAAGCACCACUCCACCUAAACUAAAGGAUCAGUACCACUACGAUAGACCACCCUGAUAAGAAUAAUUUUAGAAGCUGGAGGUGUCGAUGUUGUUGAAGAGCCUUGGGGAGUCAGUUACCAGAGUUGUGAUUCAUCAAAGCUAGUAGUAGGAGGUGGAUCCCUAGAAGCAUGAGGUGGAGACCUAGAACCAGGAGGUGGCAGUCCAUAUCAAAACAUAGAGGAAGCUGAUGGUGUUGGCAUCCAAUUCUACUCUCUGUUGUGCUUAUCUAGAAUUAAAAUCUGACCUCUUUGCCAUACACUAUGAAUAUCCAGGUACUGAACAUGAAGUUUAAUUUUCCCUUUUGAAGAGCUUUGUGAUUGAUGUGAAGGAAGUGUGAGACUUGUCUUGUUUAGUUUCCUAGAAUAAGAGCAAAGGCUGCCAGUUUGUGGUUUGCCUUUGAAGUAUAGGUUUGAAUUUUCUGUGGGAAUAAUGAACUAUCACGAAAGUGUGUACUGUAAUCUAUAUAAUUAUGUUUGCUGCAUUA